UCUACAUGCUCUUUAGACAUCUCUUCUUCUCUCAUCUCUCUUUUCUUUUAUUUUCUUUUUCCUCUCUCUUUUUAUCUCACAUAAAUUCUUUCUCACAUAAAUCCAUAUGGUGCCUCAAAGCAAUCUAUGGUCUAGGGUUUGUUUUGAAGACUGAUUCUAGCACACAGAGGAAGAUCUGUGCAUCAAGAAUGAAAAACAUGGGCUAUAUAUAUGUUUAUGGUUUUAUGCUCUAUAUAAUAUACUCAGAUUAUUUUCAUAUACUAACUGUAUAUGUCCAUAUGCUUAUAUAUACACACACAUAUAUAGAUGUAGAAAUGUCGAUAUGGGUUGGUGGGGGAAGGGAGCUUUCUUCGGUCCACUCAUAGAAUAAUAUGAUUCAGUGGUGGACCUCCCUGAACAUCUUCGAGACUAAUCUAUGAAGGUUUAUCUUUUUCUUUGUAAUGGGUUCGGAUCUAAGGAAAUGAAGUUUCACUACUAGAAGCAAUAACAAUAUACAAUAUAAGGUUUUUACUAGCUCAUUCGUCCAAAUAACUUCGUUUCUUUCUAUUCCAUGUAGACCAUCAUGUUUUUGGCUUUCGCUCAAUUAAAUGCGACUUGCAAAUAGAUUAUAAGCUA